rnacentral:rRNA from 1 species
AUUGAACGCUGGCGGCAUGCCUUACACAUGCAAGUCGAACGGUAACGGGCCUUCGGGUGCCGACGAGUGGCGAACGGGUGAGUAAUAUAUCGGAACGUACCUUUCAGUGGGGGAUAACGUAGCGAAAGUUACGCUAAUACCGCAUAUUCUGUGCGCAGGAAAGCAGGGGACCUUCGGGCCUUGCGCUGAUUGAGCGGCCGAUAUCAGAUUAGCUAGUUGGUGGGGUCAAGGCUCACCAAGGCGACGAUCGGUAGCGGGUCUGAGAGGAUGAUCCGCCACACUGGAACUGAGACACGGUACAGACUCCUACGGGAGGCAGCAGUGGGGAAUUUUGGACAAUGGGGGCAACCCUGAUCCAGCCAUGCCGCGUGAGUGAAGAAGGCCUUCGGGUUGUAAAGCUCUUUCGGCCGGGAAGAAAUCGUAUGGGCUAAUACCCUGUGCGGAUGACGGUACCGGCAUAAGAAGCACCGGCUAACUACGUGCCAGCCGCCGCGGUAAGAC